CCCGGGCCGGCCGCCGGCUCCCGGCGCUCCCGCGGCGCUUGCUGCGGCCGCCCUGCAGCCCGGGUAGGGCAUUCCCGCGAGCCGCCCCGGGCCGGAACGCUGGCAGCAUCCGCUGCGCUGGGUUCAUACUCCUCCCAGAAAAUCGCACAAUCACAGAAUGGUUUGGGUCGGAAGGGGACCUUGAAGAUCAUCCAGUUUCAACCCACCCUGCCGUGUACAGGCACAUCUCCGACUAAACCCGCUCGCUCAAAGAUGCGGCCUGGCCUUGACCACUUCCAGAGAUGAGACAUCCACAACUUCUCUGGACAACCAGUUUCAGCUCCUUCUCACCCUCACAGUACUGGAAGGCUGCAAUUGGGUCACCCCGAAGCCUUCUCUUUCGCAGGCUGAAAUGAACACAAGCUGUUUGCCAUAAGAGAGAGAGACAUUUUACUGGACCAGGUAAAGGGAAUGGUUAAUGAAUUGAUUUAAUCCAGGUCACCCACUCUCAGCACGUGCUUUAGCCAAACUGCUUUUAUCUCAUACAAAGUAAAUGGAUAAAUACAGUUAGACAAAUAUUUGCCCUCGGCACACAGCAACGAGUCUUUGAAACAGUCAUAACAAGUGUCAGGCUCAGAGGGUUCUUUGGUUUCUUCGGGACUGUCUCUGAGCAUGCUUUACACAGCUGCCUUGUCACAUUAAGUGUGAACAACCAACACUGCCAAAAUACCUGUGGUAGCUCCACAUGCAAGAUGCAGCUCUGCCUUUUUAAACUUAAGACAGUUUUGUCACAUGCCUUAGUGACAGCAGUUCCUAUUUUUUAGUCUUCUCAGAAUUUGUGUUGACAAUAUCCCAGUCUGCACAAGCAGCUGCUUCAUUUUUGCUACACCUGGAAACAAAACCAAUCUUGGCUUUCCCUUGCAGUAUACCCAUAACAAAGCCACUCCUCAUCACGUUACCUGCUGUGUUAUAUCUCAUUAAAAAUGGUCCUUCACUGUCACAAAAAUUAAAUUUCUACACCACUCAAAGCACAUGCACAAAUGUUAGGCCUAUUUUAUUCUUUAAGGCAACAUUCCAUUCCCUGAUAUAAAACUAAUCUAGCAUUCUUGACAUGAACUUUCCACUUACAAAAUAGUGUUAUAUGUGUGUGUAUAUAAAAUAUACAUGUAUAUGUAAAAUAUAUGUAUAUAUAAAAUAAAUACUUUAAGAUAAAAAAGCUGCUAAGCAAUUUACAGUCAUUACCUAAGUAAUUACAUGUAGGACACUGGCUUUUCUGUGUUUUACCAAAAGAUAGCAAGUGAAGUCUUUGAAAAAGUUAACAGCUGGUGAAAAUGGUUUCUCAAAUGGAUUAAAAAAUUAAAACCUAUACCACCUAAACCAUACAGUACAAAUAGAAGCAUCUAAGUACUGAUUGCUAGGUUCAAAGUUUAAAGGAGCUAAAGAACUUAAUGUGGUUGUGAUCAUGAUAAAUGCUGAUAAAGUGUAUGUGUACAUAUUCCUGAGCUAAGAGCAAUGUCUGAAGCAAGUCAAUUUAAGUCUUCCCUUUCUACUCUUGUCUCUCUCUGCUCUCCUCCCUUCAAAAACACCUCUGAACCAAGCUAAAACAAUAAUGAAUAAAUACCUGAAAAUAUUAACUGGACUCCUCUAAGCAUUUGUGUAACUUCAGUUGUUCUGUUAAUCCCCUCGCUUAUGUUUUUUUUCAGUUGCUAGUUCUGCUUAACAUACGUACAUCUGUUCAAAGUACAAAUUCAAGUGCUUUCAAUUUGGCACACAAUUUGGCAAUUAAGUGUUUAUUUCUAAGCCAAGGGUUGUGCUCAGUAACGGAAAAUACUCAAACUAUCUCAGAGAAAUUUACAGCACAGUAUUCCUGGCAUGUUUGCUGAGUAUUUGGCAGGAACUCCAAGCAUGAGAAUGGUGGUAACCUGCCUAAUUUAACCUGUUCUCAUAGGGCAAUUCAGGUGCACAAACCAUCCUUGUGCCCAAUGAAUUUCAUGAGAGUGGUCAAUAUAGGUUCUUUUGCAUGGCUAUGGACAGGAUUUUUUAGGGCAUCUACUAUGUGUAUAAACAUCUUGUAAAGUUUAAAGGGGCAAAGAGCAAAAAUACGCCUGUACAACCUCAGGAAACUCUAACAGGGUCCAUGGUGACCAUUUCCCUGCUGGUUUUGUGAAGACAGCUGAGCAGAACAAAGAAACCGCAUCUGUGAGUGUACUUGUACGACAUCUGCAGUGUCACAAGGAUCUUAAGGGACACUGGUUAAGUUUUAAAUUUGUAGAACAAACCUCACAAAAAUCAACAGGAAUUUUUUUUCUUUUGACACAAUGAGAUUUUUUUGUUUAAUGCUCUUCCAAUAUGAACUGCAUUGCUGAGAUAAAUAUAUGAAGUGUGUUGCUGAGAUAAAUAUGCUUAGGAUUGAUUAUGUCCCAGACUUUCAACAAUAUCAGUGGUGUAAAUGGCACAUUUGCCUUUACAACAAUGCUGCUGCCUUAGAGGCCUAGCUCCUGAGAUGUACAAGGAUAGCUGAAUUUUCUUGCUAACAACAUACAACAUCCUUAUCCUACCUACUUAAAAAUCAGAGAUGCUGCAUGCAGAAGUGAAAGCCUUUCUUGGUCUAUCUUGGUCUAUCUUUGUACAUUGCAUGAAUAUCAUCAAUACCUUAAAAACAAAAUUGCAAUAAAAAAUCCAUACCCAUCAUUUCUGCUGCAUACAUUUAAUAUUAUUGAUAAGCUAGUGUCCUUGUUUAAAGAUAACUUUGAGUUUUGACUGGCAGUAAUAUCAAUGCAUCCCCUAAAACACAAAUGCACAGAAUGAAGCAAUUUUUAAUCAUAAAUCCCACGAUUAAAAAAAAAAAAACAGCCAACCAAAAUCUAACACAUACACACACACAGACUCUUAAGUUAUGCAUUUGCCAGCACCUGCUAUGAGGGGCUAGGAAUUUCAAAUGAAGGAUGAGAUGGGCAGUCACUGUAAUUUUCCAAGCAAUUCUUCCUACAGAGAGCUGUUAUGACAGACAGUAAAUUAGACUGGUGACACGGACUUCUUUACAGCUGUUGCCACGAGAUGCACACCCAACUGUGGAGCAGUAAAUCUUGAAACAGAAACUCUAGCAAGUAAGCAGGGUACAGCAGUGCAGGAACAGAGCUCAUGUUAACCCUGAAUACACCGUUUGAAGCGACUCAAGCCCCAGCAAACAUUUCUGCUAGAGAAGUCUUCAUUCUACCUGUGAUCAAACUUCAGUCCAACGAAGACAUUAAGCCUGGUGGUAGAUACUGGUAAAGGGCAACUGAGCCCUUUGUAGGCCAAAUGAUCUGUACCCCUGCAAGAACCUGCUAUUCUGAUUAAAAACAAAGCUGCUAUUUUAUGAAAGGGUAAUAGAAAUAGUUUAGGCUUAUGAAUUUGAAUUAGCCUGUAAAGCGGUGUGUGGGAAACUUGAUUUCCCCCUGACCCCAUCUGCUAAAAACGAGUCACAAAACAAGCACUGAGCUAGAAAUAAAUCAUUUAUUUCAAAACAAUACAGGUUAAUAAAUAGAUUAGUUAUCAGAAAACUUAAUAAAUAGCCUUUUAUAAUUUACACAAGGCAAAUACAACAUGCCUAUAACUAUUUUUUAAAAAGCAAAGAGAGUAAGCUUGACUUGUAAGCCAUUAACAAAUCUAUAUAUACAUUAUUUGGAAGCUAAUAAAAUAAACCGUAUUUGUGUAAUCUGUAGUAACUAUAUUGCAAAAGCAUUGAAGCAACCAAACCUAACAUUGUUGCCAACUACCUUUUCCCUAUAUCCCAUUAGAACUACUUUUUACAUUCAAGAAACAAAAAAGGGAAAUUUAAAAAAAAGGAAGAGAAAG